rnacentral:rRNA from 1 species
CUAACUAGGAUUCCCUCAGUAACGGCGAGUGAAGAGGGAUGAGCCCAGCACCGAAACCUGUGGCCAAUUGGCUACUAGGUAAUGUGGUGUUUAGGCGGAUUUGUGGUACUACUGCUCCAUUCUAAGUCCAUCAAUGAGUACGGCAACUGGACCGGCCCAUAGAGGGUGAAAGGCCCGUGUGAGUGGAUCAGUGGUGCCCUGAGUUCGUCUUGGAGUCGGGUUGUUUGUGAAUGCAGCCCAAAGUAGGUGGUAAACUCCAUCUAAGGCUAAAUACUAGCACGAGUCCGAUAGCGAACAAGUACCGUGAGGGAAAGUUGAAAAGUACUUUGAAGAGAGAGUAAACAGUGCGUGAAACCGCUCAAAGGUAAACGGGUGGAGUUGAACUGGAGGCCUAGAGGAUUCAGCUGAUGAGUAUGGUUUGUACUUGGAUAUGUUGGCCGGUGCUCGGAGUCCAUUAUGUUAUGGGUCCUUUGGGAUGCAUGGUGCACUUAUCAUGUGCCGUGUGCUUUGGGUGUCCGGGCCUGCUUGUCAGUGCAUUUUCUCUGGGUAUUCACCACGACCGGCAUUGCUGCUUGUCUAUUGUAGCCAAACCGUUCAGGUUUAGUCAUUAGCUAGACUUGAAUGGUAGGACAGGUUGCCUGUUAACCCGCAAUGGUUAAUAGGUGUAAUUAGUUGGUUAUGAUGGAUCAGUGCGCGGUGCCGGAGAUAGCGGCUAGUGCUUGCGUGCGUGCUUUGUUUGGCAAGCAGAAUUGAGUUUGGUAGGCAUGUUACCUGUAUUAAUAGGUCUGUCUAUGGCUCGGUUUUGUUAUGUUGACGGUUGCGUGCGUGGCAUGUAUUGGGCCUAUAGUCUGUGGUGUAGUUGUAGACUUUCCAUCCGACCCGUCUUGAAACACGGACCAAGGAGUUUAACAUGUACGCGAGUCAUUGGGCUAUACGAAACCCAUAGGCGAAGUGAAAAUGAAGGUUCGACUUGUUCGAGCUGAGGCGAGAUCCUGUUGUUUCCUCUGUCUUGGAUUACCAAGCAUUCGAGCAGCGGGCGCAUCGCCAGCCCGUCUCAUGACGUAGUCAUAUGGUCUUGUACUGUGUGCACCGUCGGGGCGGAGCCAGAGCGUAUAUGUUGAGACCCGAAAGAUGGUGAACUAUGCUUGCGAAAGUUGAAGCCAGAGGAAACUCUGGUGGAGGACUGUAGCGAUUCUGACGUGCAAAUCGAUCGUCUGACGUGAGUAUAGGGGCGAAAGACUAAUCGAACC